GACGAACGCUGGCGGCGUGCUUAACACAUGCAAGUCGAGCGAGAGACUUCGGUCUCUAGCGGCGGACGGGUGAGUAACACGUGGGUAACCUGCCUCAAAGAGGGGGAUAGCCUUCCGAAAGGAAGAUUAAUACCGCAUAAUAUCAUAGCUUCGCAUGGAGCAAUGAUUAAAGGAGUAAUCCGCUUUGAGAUGGACCCGCGUCGCAUUAGCUAGUUGGAGAGGUAACGGCUCACCAAGGCGACGAUGCGUAGCCGACCUGAGAGGGUGAUCGGCCACAUUGGAACUGAGACACGGUCCAGACUCCUACGGGAGGCAGCAGUGGGGAAUAUUGCACAAUGGGCGAAAGCCUGAUGCAGCAACGCCGCGUGAGUGAUGAAGGUCUUCGGAUUGUAAAACUCUGUCUUUUGGGACGAUAAUGACGGUACCAAAGGAGGAAGCCACGGCUAACUACGUGCCAGCCGCCGCCGUAACAC
rnacentral:rRNA from 1 species